UUCCAGUUACUACCCCUCUUCCUUGCUCUUUCCUUCUUACUCAUCUUUGUCUCCUGCGUUCGGACUUGAAAUUCCUCUUCGGAUUAUAAACAGGGAAGCCAAACCCUACGGAAAGGCGGAGCCAGGAGUACAGUAAAGGCUUCCAACUUCUGGUCUUUAAUACCACCCUUAAAACAAAGUCUUUCCAACCUGUUGCCCAAGGGUCGACCCGAAAGAAAAUGCCAAGAUCUCCUCGUCACAGGCGUUGACGAGACACCAGGGGUGACUGCUUUCCACGGCUCUCUUCUCCUUGGCAUAGAGCAGUGGGCAUCAGCGCGCACCCCCCCCCCCCCGGGAAUCUGUCAGAAAUGUGAACUGUCCAGAGGAAGGCCGGCAGUCUGAGUUUCACACGCCCGCAAGGUGAUCCUGACAUGGGUUCCGUGGAUGGCGGGCAGCAGACAGCAGAGGCCUCGGCCUUGGGGACCUGACUUCCUGCUCUGGAAUCCCAGCUCCUCUGCCUCCGGGCCCCGGUGUCCCUGCGAAAGUUACUCAACAUCUCUUUCCCUUGCUUUUUCUCCUGUUAAAAUUAGGGGAUAAUUAAAAAAAACACAC